GGGCUUAACACAUGCAAGUCGAGGGGCAGCAUGGUCUUUGCUUGCUAAGGCCGAUGGCGACCGGCGCACGGGUGAGUAACACGUAUCCAACCUGCCGUCUACUCUUGGACAGCCUUCUGAAAGGAAGAUUAAUACAAGAUGGCAUCAUGAGUCCGCAUGUUCACAUGAUUAAAGGUAUUCCGGUAGACGAUGGGGAUGCGUUCCAUUAGAUAGUAGGCGGGGUAACGGCCCACCUAGUCUUCGAUGGAUAGGGGUUCUGAGAGGAAGGUCCCCCACAUUGGAACUGAGACACGGUCCAAACUCCUACGGGAGGCAGCAGUGAGGAAUAUUGGUCAAUGGGCGAGAGCCUGAACCAGCCAAGUAGCGUGAAGGAUGACUGCCCUAUGGGUUGUAAACUUCUUUUAUAAAGGAAUAAAGUCGGGUAUGGAUACCCGUUUGCAUGUACUUUAUGAAUAAGGAUCGGCUAACUCCGUGCCAGCAGCCGCGGUAAUACGGAGGAUCCGAGCGUUAUCCGGAUUUAUUGGGUUUAAAGGGAGCGUAGAUGGAUGUUUAAGUCAGUUGUGAAAGUUUGCGGCUCAACCGUAAAAUUGCAGUUGAUACUGGAUAUCUUGAGUGCAGUUGAGGCAGGCGGAAUUCGUGGUGUAGCGGUGAAAUGCUUAGAUAUCACGAAGAACUCCGAUUGCGAAGGCAGCCUGCUAAGCUGCAACUGACAUUGAGGCUCGAAAGUGUGGGUAUCAAACAGGAUUAGAUACCCUGGUAGUCCACACGGUAAACGAUGAAUACUCGCUGUUUGCGAUAUACAGCAAGCGGCCAAGCGAAAGCGUUAAGUAUUCCACCUGGGGAGUACGCCGGCAACGGUGAAACUCAAAGGAAUUGACGGGGGCCCGCACAAGCGGAGGAACAUGUGGUUUAAUUCGAUGAUACGCGAGGAACCUUACCCGGGCUUAAAUUGCAGAUGAAUUACGGUGAAAGCCGUAAGCCGCAAGGCAUCUGUGAAGGUGCUGCAUGGUUGUCGUCAGCUCGUGCCGUGAGGUGUCGGCUUAAGUGCCAUAACGAGCGCAACCCUUGUUGUCAGUUACUAACAGGUUCCGCUGAGGACUCUGACAAGACUGCCAUCGUAAGAUGUGAGGAAGGUGGGGAUGACGUCAAAUCAGCACGGCCCUUACGUCCGGGGCUACACACGUGUUACAAUGGGGGGUACAGAGGGCCGCUACCACGCGAGUGGAUGCCAAUCCCCAAAACCUCUCUCAGUUCGGACUGGAGUCUGCAACCCGACUCCACGAAGCUGGAUUCGCUAGUAAUCGCGCAUCAGCCACGGCGCGGUGAAUACGUUCCCGGGCCUUGUACACACCGCCCGUCAAGCCAUGGGAGCCGGGGGUACCUGAAGUGCGUAACCGCGAGGAGCGCCCUAGGGUAAAACUGGUG
rnacentral:rRNA from 1 species